GGGCCUGUAGCUCAGGCGGUUAGAGCAGGGGACUCAUAAUCCCUUGGUCGCUGGUUCGAAUCCAGCCGGGCCCA
rnacentral:tRNA from 1 species